rnacentral:rRNA from 1 species
UACGUAGGGGGCUAGCGUUGUCCGGAUUUAUUGGGCGUAAAGAGCGUGUAGGCGGCCAGGUAGGUCUGCUGUGAAAACUCGAGGCUCAACCUCGAGACGUCGGCGGAAACCAUCUGGCUAGAGUCCGGAAGAGGAGAGUGGAAUUCCUGGUGUAGCGGUGAAAUGCGUAGAUAUCAGGAGGAACACCUGUGGCGAAAGCGGCUCACUGGACCACAACUGACGCUGAGGCGCGAAAGCUAGGGGAGCAAACAGG